GCGCAGAUGGUUCAGUGGCAGAAUCUACCGUUGCCAUCGGUAGGACUCGGGUUCGAUUCCCGAUCCGCGCA
rnacentral:tRNA from 2 species